AAUAGUGAGGGCCUCUUUGAUUCGAAGGAUUUUCAAAACGCAGGAACAGAAAAACCCUACGAAUCAAACAACACAGAGAAAAAGUAACUGAGGAUUGGUAUCCUUCAAAAUUCCUUUGAGGAUUAGAAACUAUUCCUACAUAAUCCAGGGGAUUUGAAACAUCCAUGUUAGAAUUAAUUAAUUAUGUUUAAUUAAUAGGGAAUCUACUUUUGCCUAAACAUUGUACCGUUGCAUAGCAAGGGACGUGUCUCUCUUUCCAACCGUUGCAUCCCUGUAAUUAGCAACCGACCUAGGAUAUGACUGAUUGAACCGUCAAGUCUGUUCGACGCAUCUCUUCCAGUCAUAUAUAAGUUGCACUCUUUCUACCAAUCAAUACAAGUUGAUCUUUCGCUUAAACACGUUAUCAGCACGAGCUCUACCGAGAGCCUCGCCGACGGUGAGAAUGCCCGGCCUUGUCAACUUCUUUCUCUGCCUCAUCCGUGAGGACGGCCGCCGUCGCCGUUUCGCGGCCCGUGGCCAUCACGAAGUAGGCGGGCGCCGUCGACUUCACCGGGCACUGCACCGUCUCCGCCGAGUCGGACGACAAGGUCACCAGGCCGCUGGCCGCGGCCCUCGACGUGGCCUCCGCGCCCCUGGACACGGCCAUCGCGCCGCUGCACGCUGCGACCACGCCCCAACGGUGGCCGGCUCCGCCCAGGCAGGAGAUGGCAUCCCCGGGCCCGCGCUCACGGCUCCAACGCGGACUCCGCCUCCGCCUCCAGCACCGGUCGACGAGCCCGGCUUCUUCGUCUUCGUGCCGUUCCCAAACGGCGCCGGAGGGACGACCCAAGCCGCUGGCCCGACGCCGGUCGCGCAGCCUGGAGACGCGGACGCCGGCCCGUGUCGCAGCGCCGCCGGGCCUCCGCGUGUCUCCGCCUCCGUGCCGGACGAGGCACCACCGUCCCCGCGCACGGUCGCCCGACCGCACCGCCAGGACUCCGCGAGCAUGGAGGGACGCCGCCGCCUCUUCGGUCGCGCCAUCGCCGCCAUCGACCGCCGCCCUAGUCGUCGCUCCGGUCUCGCCCCCGAUCUACCCAACGGCGCCGCUGCAGGCGCCAUCGACGUCUCCUCUCCGAGGAAGAUGGAGGCGCGCCAGCGAGCCGCCCGUGAGCAACGGCGUAUGCGGCGGCGGCACCCAGGCGUGGAUUUGGUCAGAAGGAUUGGGGGAUCGCUCCCCUAAUCCGCCUGGUUAAAAGGCCACCAACCACCCCCUCUCCACUUGGGCUGUGGGUCUGGCCUAGAUCGCCCCUGGCUACGGGCCGAAUUCGUAGAAUUCUUUUUCUGGAUUUUCUUCUGUUCAAUUCUUUUAACAGUAGUUGUAGCAGUAAUCUAUCACUGUUUUAGUACUGUUUAGCCUAUGUACACGUACAUUCUAGUCUGGUAUCUAGAUUUACUCUAUUUUUAGGACUUGUGUAAAUAUUUGUAGGCGUAUGUUUACAUUGUGUAAUAUAUUUGAUAAUGUAAAUAAAGAACCAGCAUUAUCUGGAAAAAAAAUUCUAGAACAUGUUCCAACGAUUGAGAUUAUUUUCUCUCGUACAACAAACUUGCAAAUUUUUGAUACACGCCUCCCUCAUUAUAUUUGGAAUCACGGUCUACGUUUUGUCAGUUCGACAAAUGAUUACCUUGAAUGUGCACUUCCUUAUAUUUAAAUUGAUAACAUACACAAGGUAAUAGAAGCGAGCGCAUCUACUGACAUUGUCAGAUUAUGUAGCCUAUUACUAUGCGAUCUAUGCGAUCUUCGACGUGUUAUGUUUAAUCAAUUGAGGUCUACAUUAUUCAAGUUCUCCACUUGACUAUCAAAAUUUGCACCAUUAUUACAAUACAACCAUGAUGGUUUUUAAUUUACCCGUCAUAAAUUAAUUAUCUCUGGUUCAUCCAUGUAGGUAAACGAUGACCGCAAAAGAAUUUGAGGAGCUUGCCCUCAAUGGCCACAACUACCCUACAUGGGCCAUGGACGUCAAGAUCAGCCUUGCUUCCCGUGGGAUAGCACGUGCAAUCCAGGAUCCGGAGACUCCUCUACCGGCCGGAACCACGCCGCUGACUGAACAACAAAACUAUGCAACUUUAUACAUUAUAAGGCACCAUAUUCACCCAGAUCUAAAGUCUGAGUACUUAGAGGAGGAAUCUCCCAGUACUUUGUUUCUAGCCCUCAAAACGAGAUAUGAACAACAGAAGGCAGUUGUCCUGCCAGAAGCGCUCCAUGAUUGGACUCACCUUCGUCUUCAGGAUUUCAAGUCCAUCGGUGAGUACAACCACAAGGUUCAUAAGAUAAGUUCCAAACUACGCUUUUGCGGGAAGGAACCUACUGAUGCGGAGAAAAUAGAGAAAACUUUAUCUACUAUGCUCCCUUCAGACAGGAUCCUCCAGCAGCAAUACCGUGCUCGCAACUAUACUGUCUAUUCCGAGCUUAUUCAUAUGUUACUUCAGGCUGAAAAGCAUGAUGAGCUACUCGCUAAGAAUGGCUCUCAACGCCCAGUUGGGGCACAACCUCUACCCGAAGUUCAUAUGAAUGUCGCGAAUAGACAGAAGUUUGAUGGUGCCUUUAGGGGCAAUCAAUCAAAUUUCCAGAACAAGCGAAAGCGCAUUAGGAAUAGGAGGUCUAGGAACUCAGACAAGGGAAAAGGCACUGCAAAGCCCAAGCAUGAUAAAUCUCUGCUUUGCAACAAGUGUGGAUGCUACACGCACCCCACCGACAAGUGCAAGAUCCCAAAACAUCUGGUUAUGUUGUACCGGCAAUCUCAGGGACGCAAAGCACCUCAAGGGAAGAGGUUUGAAGCCAACUUCAACCUUCAUCCGGACAGCGCCAAUGGAGCCGGUAGUUCGCAUGACGUUCCUCCUGAACCGAGCAACACCAUUGAGUUCCAUCAGCCAGAGGACCUUGCUGACACGGAGAACAUGAUGAUUGAGUAUACCUCAAACGACACGUUUGGAGACUUCGACUAGUCCCACAAUCACCUUAGUGAUCUAUUUAGCUAUGUCCAUUUGUGAUGUUGUAAUAAGAACAUAAGUAUUGUUGUUCUCUUUAUAUUGUAUCAGCACAUUUGAUAUAAUAAGAUUGUAAUUGUACCAACAUAUUUGAUAUAAAUAAGAUUGUAUUCUAUGUAUUUACAUGAGAUUUUCUUAUUGAAAGUUCUUUCUCUUAUAUAUAGUUCUCUACGGUGACAAUUCGAUGGAAGAGGAAUUAUGCCUUGUGGAUAGUGCAACCACAAACUCCAUACUGAGGGAGAUGAAAUAUUUUCAAACUCUGAAAAAGAUGAAUGGAGAUAUUCUAACGCGCUGGACGUGAUACGGUAAUCGUUGGCACUGGACGUGCCAUAUUUACCCUCCCAGGCGGUACACAAGUGAUAAUUGAGGAUGCUUUGUUGUAUCCCGACUCAUCACGAACCCUGAUCAGUUAUCGAGAUAUCCGUAAAAAUGGCUUUCACAUUGAAACCCAUGAAGACAACAAAGAGGAGUAUCUACUCUUCACCAAAGAUCACGGAUAUGGCAAGCAGGUACAUGAAAAAAUUCCUUCUCUAUCGUCUGGUUUGUACUAUACGUACAUCAAACCCGUAGAACAUGUUGCAUACAAAGUAGUUUUUCAAAAUGCUGACACAUUUCAAACCUGGCAUGAUCGCCUAGGCCAUCCCGGGAUCGGGAUGAUGAGAAAAAUUACCAGCAAUUCCAUUGGUCAUAAUUUGCUUGAGUCAAAAUUUCCUCAAUCUUCAGACUUUGUGUGCACAUCUUGUGCCACGGGAAAGCUAAUUUUGAGACCCUCUCACCUCAAAAUACAAGCUGAACCACUUCAAUUUCUUGAACGCAUUCAAGGAGACAUUUGUGGUCCCAUCCAACCAUUAUCUGGACCUUUCCUGUACUUCAUGGUUCUAAUUGAUGCAUCCACACGUGGUCACACAUGUGUCUUCUAUCCACGCGAAACCAUGCAUUUGCCAAGAUAAUGAGGCAAGUCAUUAAGUUACAAGCCCAUUAUCCAGAAAGUCGAAUUAAGAUAAUUCGCAUGGACAACGCCACAGAAUUCUUCUCACGUGCUUUCAAUGAUUAUUGCAUGGCCCUGGGGAUUGAAGUUCAGCACUCCGUUCCAUAUGUCCAUACACAAAAUGGUUUGGCUGAAUCAUUGAUUAAAAGGAUCAAACUCAUUGCAAGACCUUUGUUAAUGAAUUGCAACUUGCCAACCUAUUGUUGGGGUCAUGCGAUUCUACACGCUGGUGACUUGAUACAAUUGAGGCCUACUGCAUAUCACAGUACUUCCCCUCUGCAAUUGGUACGUGGAAAUCCUCCUAGUAUUUCCCAUCUGCGUAAGUUUGGAUGUGCUGCAUACAUCCCGAUCUCACCACCACAGCGGACAUCCAUGGGCCCACAUAGGAAACUGGGGAUCUAUGUGGGGUACAAAUCACCGUCGAUUAUUAAGUACCUGGAACCCCUUACUGGGGACCUGUUCACAGCCCGUCACGCUGAUUGUAUAUUUAAUGAGGAACACUUUCCGGCAUUAGGGGGGACUUCAAGUACCAGAAAGAAUGCCCGGAAAUUGAUUGGAAUGCUCAAGCCAUUUCGUCCUCUGAUCCACAUACACAAGAGACCGAGCUCCAAGUUCAGAAAACCAUUAAUUUGCAACAUCUUGCAAAUAACCUGCCAGAUUCAUUUACUGAUCUAAAAGGUGUUACAAAGUCCUUAAACCCGGCCAGAAAUGCGCCUGAAAGAAUGGAGGUACCAAUAAAAACCACUCAACUCCCUGUUCCUAAAAAGAGGGGGAGUAGUACGGCCUCUGACCUGGAACAAGCUUCCAGCAAGCAACAAAGGAAAUCGAGGAGAAAAACCUCAGAGUCAGUAAAUGCAAGUCAGCUCAACGUUGACAAACACCUCAUGGGUAGUAUACACCCAGUGGAAGGGCAACCUCCACAACCUAGCUUCAGUUUGCACACACUGGCUGGGCCAUCGGAACACCCAGAUUCAUGCGUAUUGGGAAAUCAUGAAGAGUCACUAGGGCUGCAGGAAAUUUCCAUCAACUAUAUCGAUUCUGGAGAAUCUUCCGAUCGUAAGUCUACGACUGUCGACAUUUAUUUUGCUGAAAAAAUUGCAGAUAUCCUUCUCACUGAUCAUGAUCCAAAGGCCAUCGUUGAGUGCCAAAAGCGCUCCGACUGGCCUAAAUGGAAGGACGCAAGCAGAAAUUGCCUCGCUUAACAAAAGAAAGGUAUUCACUGAAGCAAUACCGACACCUCCCAAUGUUUUUCCUGUGGGAUACAAAUGGGUUUUUUCUCCAAAAACGGAAUGAGAACAAUGAGGUGGUGAGAUACAAAGCAAGGCUCGUAGCACAAGGGUUCACGCAGAGACCCGACAUUGAUUUCAAUGAGACAUAUUCUCCUGUAAUGAGUGGAACCACUUUCCGAUACCUUAUGUCUUUGGCAGUGCAAAAUCGUCUAUCUAUGCAGUUGAUGGAUGUCGUGACCGCAUAUCUUUAUGGGUCACUAGAUUCGGACAUGUAUAUGAAGGUUCAUGACGGAAUCUCUAUCCCGAAUACAAGCGCAAGACGCAACAUGUAUUGUGUAAAACUGAAUAAGUCAUUAUAUGGCUUAAGACAGUCGGGACGGAUGUGGUACAACCGACUUAGUGAGUUUCUUCUUCAUAAGGGUUACUCCAAUAGUAGUGAUUGCCCAUGUGUCUUUAUCAAAAAGUCCUCUACAGGAUUUUGUAUCAUUUCAGUGUACGUCGAUGACCUCAACAUCAUUGGCAAUACACAAGACAUUGAUGAAGCACACAAUCACCUAAAGAUGGAAUUUGAGAUGAAGGAUUUGGGUAAAACCAAAUUUUGCUUAGGUAUUCAACUUGAGCACCUUCCCUCGGGAAUCAUGGUACACCAAGCUGCCUAUAUCCAGAAAAUAUUGGAGAAAUUCAAUAUGGACAAAUCCCACCCAUCUAAAACUCCCAUGGUGGUUCAUUCUCUAGACGUAGAGAAAGAUCCGUUUAGGCCAAAGGAUGAUGGAGAAGAAAUAUUGGGAUCCGAGGUUCCAUAUCUAAGUGCCGUUGGAGCGCUCAUGUAUCUUGCAAAUUGCACGAGACCUGACCUCGCAUUUGCAGUGAAUCUACUUGCUAGACAUAGCGCAGCUCCCACUAAACGUCAUUGGUCUGGAGUCAAGAAUAUCUUUCGAUAUCUCCAAGGCACAAAGGAUCUUGGCCUAUUUUUUCAGUUCCAAAGAAAUCAUGACUCUAAUAUGAUUGGAUACCCAGAUGCUGGCUAUUUAUCUGAUCCCCAUAAUGCCAGAUCACAGUCCGGCUUUGUGUUCCUACAUGGUGGAACUGCUAUAUCAUGGAAGUCUUCUAAACAGACUCUGGUGGCAACAUCUACCAAUUAUUCUGAAAUUAUUUCAUUAUUUGAGGCAUCACGCGAAUGUGUGUGGCUUCGCAGAAUGAUAAACCACAUACAACAGUCAUGUGGAAUUGGUUCUAUUGAAUCACCUACCAUUAUCUACGAAGAUAAUGCAGCUUGUGUUGCACAGAUGCAAACAUGAUACAUCAAGAGUAAUAUCACUAAGCAUAUUUCUCCUAAGUGGUUUUUUCCCCAUGAACUUCUGAAAAGUGGGGAAAUAAACAUCUUGCAAGUUAAAUCAUGUGAAAACCUUGCUGAUUUAUUUACCAAGUCUCUACCAAAUACUACAUUCCAUAAAUAUGUUCAUGGAAUUGGUAUGCGACGACUUCGGGACUUGCAAGUAUCAGGGGGAGUUUCUCCCUGAACUAUUCCUGAUUAAAAACAUCAUAUUGCACUCGUUCUCUUUGUGAGUUUAUGUUUCAGGUUCUCAUCAAGAAUCCUAUUGAAGAAUUUUUGAAGAUGGAUCUUUUCGAGGUGGUGAUACUAUGAUGGACAACCUUGGAGAUGCUGAUCAUACCUGGACAAGCAUAUGAAGAUUCUACAUGGACAAGCGUAGAUUAGGGGGAGUGUUAGAAUUAAUUAAUUAUGUUUAAUUAAUAGGGAAUCUACUUUUGCCUAAACACUGUACGGUUGCAUAGCAAGGGACGUGUCUCUCUUUCCAACCGCUGCAUCCCUGUAAUUAGCAACCGACCUAGGAUAUGACUGUUUGAACCGUCGAGUCUGUUCGACGCAUCUCUUCCAGUCAUAUAUAAGUUGUACUCUUUCUACCAAUCAAUACAAGUUGAUCUUCCGCUUAAAC
rnacentral:lncRNA from 1 species